UGGUACAGGAAUAAGAGCUGGGCAAGACCGGUGCCAGCCGCCGCGGUAACACCGGCAGCUCGAGUGAUGACCGAUAUUAUUGGGCUAAAGCGUCCGCAGCUGGCCGAGAGGGUCCGUCGGGAAAUCUGCUCGCUCAACGAGCAGGCGUCCGGCGGAAACCAAUCGGCUUGGGACCGGAAGACNUGAGGGGUACGUCUGGGGUAGGAGUGAAAUCCCGUAAUCCUGGACGGACCACCGGUGGCGAAAGCGCCUCAGGAAGACGGAUCCGACAGUGAGGGACGAAAGCUGGGGUCACGAACCGGAUUAGAUACCCGGGUAGUCCCAGCUGUAAACGAUGCUCACUAGGUGUGGCACUGGCUACGAGCCAGUGCUGUGCCGUAGGGAAGCCGUGAAGUGAGCCGCCUGGGAAGUACGUCCGCAAGGAUGAAACUUAAAGGAAUUGGCGGGGGAGCACUACAACCGGAGGAGCCUGCGGUUUAAUUGGACUCAACGCCGGACAUCUCACCAGCUCCGACAGUAUGCAGUGACAGUCAGUGUGAUGAGCUUACUUGAGCUACUGAGAGGAGGUGCAUGGCCGCCGUCAGCUCGUACCGUGAGGCGUCCUGUUAAGUCAGGCAACGAGCGAGACCCGCACUCUUAAUUGCCAGCAUAGGCCUUCGGCCUGAUGGGUACAUUAGGAGGACUGCCAGUGCUAAACUGGAGGAAGGAACGGGCAACGGUAGGUCAGUAUGCCCCGAAUGAGCUGGGCUACACGCGGGCUACAAUGGUCGAGACAGUGGGAUGCAACCCCGAGAGGGGGCGCUAAUCUCCGAAACUCGAUCGUAGUUCGGAUUGUGGGCUGAAACUCGCCCACAUGAAGCUGGAUUCGGUAGUAAUCGCCUCUCAGAAGGAGGCGGUGAAUACGUCCCUGCUCCUUGCACACACCGCCCGUCAAAGCACCCGAGUGAGGUCCGGAUGAGGCCCGGAAACGGGUCGAAUCUGGGCUUCGCAAGGGGGCUNAAGUCGUAACA
rnacentral:rRNA from 1 species